GUCUGGUAUGGUGCAGUGGUUUGAAUGUUGGACUAUGACUCUGGAGACAAGGGUUGAAAUCCCUGCUUGGCCA